rnacentral:rRNA from 1 species
UACGGGGGGGGCAAGCGUUGUUCGGAAUUACUGGGCGUAAAGGGCUCGUAGGUGGCCAACUAAGUCAGACGUGAAAUCCCUCGGCUUAACCGGGGAACUGCGUCUGAUACUGGAUGGCUUGAGUUCGGGAGAGGGAUGCGGAAUUCCAGGUGUAGCGGUGAAAUGCGUAGAUAUCUGGAGGAAUACCGAUGGCGAAGGCAGGUCUCUGGGCUGACACUGACGCUCAUGCACGAAAGCGUGGGGAGCAAACAGG